GACGAACGCUGGCGGCGUGCUUAACACAUGCAAGUCGAACGAUGAACCUCGAAAUGACAUCUUCGGAAGGAUUUUUGAGAGGAUUAGUGGCGAACGGGUGAGUAACGCGUGAGCAACCUGCCUUAGACAAGGGGAUAGCCUCGGGAAACCGUGAUUAAUACCCUAUGAGACUCCACUUACGAGUGUAAGAGAAGUUAAAGCUAUUGCGGUCUAAGAUGGGCUCGCGUCUGAUUAGCUAGUUGGUGAGAUAAAAGCCCACCAAGGCGACGAUCAGUAACCGGCUUGAGAGAGUGAACGGUAACAUUGGAACUGAGACACGGUCCGAACUCCUACGGGAGGCAGCAGGGGGGAAUAUUGCACGAUGGGGGCAACACUGAUGCAGCGACGCCGCGUGAGCGAUGAAGGAAUUCGUUACGUAAAGCUCGGUACUUGGAGAAGAUAAUGACGGUAACCAAGGAGGAAGCACCGGCUAAAUACGUG
rnacentral:rRNA from 1 species